rnacentral:rRNA from 1 species
UAGGGAAUCUUCCGCAAUGGGCGAAAGCCUGACGGAGCAACGCCGCGUGAGUGAUGAAGGUCUUCGGAUCGUAAAACUCUGUUAUUAGGGAAGAACAAAUGUGUAAGUAACUAUGCACGUCUUGACGGUACCUAAUCAGAAAGCCACGGCUAACUACGUGCCAGCAGCCGCGGUAAUACGUAGGUGGCAAGCGUUAUCCGGAAUUAUUGGGCGUAAAGCGCGCGUAGGCGGUUUUUUAAGUCUGAUGUGAAAGCCCACGGCUCAACCGUGGAGGGUCAUUGGAAACUGGAAAACUUGAGUGCAGAAGAGGAAAGUGGAAUUCCAUGUGUAGCGGUGAAGUGCGCAGAGAUAUGGAGGACCACCAGUGGCGAGGGCGACUUUCUGGUCUGUAACUGACGCUGAUGUGCGAAAGCGUGGGAAUCAAACAGG